UCCAUCUUGCUUGCUGAGAGGGAAUCCAGGUGUCAUAUGUUAAGGACACUAAAGCAGCCCCAUGCAGAGGCCACAUGGACAGAGCCACAGGUCUCCUGCCACAAGCCAGUGCCAACUGGAUAACCAUGAUGACCUUCCCCACCCAGCUGUGGAAAACAGGAGAAUGCAGCGACCUCAGCUGAAAUUCAACCACCACUGAAGCCUAUAGAGAAAAGUGACAGAGGAUAACUGCAGAGAUGAAACCCUUCCUUCUGGCUGCCUAGGCCUGACUCAUACUCAGCCCUACUCUACUCUACCUCCUGGGGCACCGGAUUCCUCACUCAGGAUCCAGAUCACAUUGUGAGAGGUUUCAUUUCAUCAGAAAUCUUUGACAGAGACUUCACCGGUGAGA